AUGGGAAAGGAGAAGACUCAUAUCAACAUUGUCGUCAGUGGAUAAGUAGAUUUGAGCAAGUCCGCCCCUACUGGCCAUCUGAUCUACAAAUGUUGUGGCAUCAACAAAAGAAGCAUUAAAAAAUUUGAGAAGGAGGCUGCUGAGAUGGGAAACGGCUCCUUCAAGUAUGCCUGGGUCUUGGAUAAACUGAAAGCUGAGCAUGAAUGUGGUAUCACCAUUGACAUCUCCUUGUGGAAAUUUGAGGCCAGCAAGUACUGCACGGCUAUCAUUGACGCCCCAGGACACAGAGGCUUCAUCAAAAACAUGAUUACAGGGACAUCUCAGGCUGACUCUGCUGUCUUAGUUGUUGCUGCUGGUGUUGGUGAAUUUGAAGCUGGUGUCUCCAAGAAUUGGCAGACCCGAGAGCAUGCCCUUCUGGCUUACACACUGGCUGUGAAACAACUAAUCAUUAGUGUUAACAAAAUGGAUUUCACUGAGCCACCCCACAGCCAGAAGAGAUAUGAGGAAAUUGUUAAGGAAAUCAGCAGUACAUUAAGAAAAUUGGCUACAAUCCCAACACAGUAGCAUUUGUGCCAACUUCUGGUUGGAAUGGUGACAACACGCUGGAGCCAACUGCUAACAUGCCUUGGUUCAAGGGAUGGAAAGUCACCCGUAAGGAUGGCAAUGCCAGUGGAACUACGCUGCUUGAGGCUCUGGACUGCAUCCUACCACCAACUCGUCCAACUGACAAGGCCUGCUUCUCCAGGAUGUCUACAAAAUUGGUGGUAUUGGUACUGUUCCUGAUGGCCGAGUGGAGACUGUUGUUCUCAAACCUGGUAUGGUGGUCACCUUUGCUCCAGUCAACUCUACAACUGAAGUAAAAUCUGUUGAAAUGCACCAUGAAGCUUUGAGUGAAGCUUUUUCUGGGGACAAUGUGGGCUUCCAUGUCAAGAACGUGUCUGUCAAGGAUGUUCGUCAUGGUAACAAUGCUGGUGACAGCAAAAACGACCCGCCAAUGGAACCAGCUGGAUUCACUGCUCAGGUGAUCUAUCCUGAACCAUCCAGGCCAAGUCAGUGCUGGCUGUGCCCCUGUACUGGAUUGCCACAUGGCUCACAUUGCAUGCAAGUUUGCUGAGCUGAAGGGAAAGAUUGAUUGCUAUUCUGGUAAAAAGCUGGAAGACGGCCCUAAAUUCUUGAAAUCUGGUGAUGUUGCCAUCACUGAUAUGGUGCCUGGUAAGCCCAUGUGUAUUGAGAGCUUCUCAGACUAUCCACCUCUGGGUUGCUUUGCUAUUCGUGAUAUGAGACAGACAUUUGCGGUGGGUGUCAUCAAAGCAGUGGACAAGAAGGCAGCUGGAGCUGGCAAGGUCACCAAGUCUCCCCAGAAAGCUCAGAAGGCUAAAUGAAUAUUAUCCCUAAUACCUG